rnacentral:rRNA from 1 species
AAACGGCUAGGAAAGUAGGUGCCCUGAGUUGAGCCGGGUGCUUGCACCUUAGCUUAGGGGCCAACGGGUGAGUAUGCUUAGGAAUCUGCCUAUUAGUGGGGGACAACAUUCCGAAAGGAAUGCUAAUACCGCAUACGCCCUACGGGGGAAAGCAGGGGAUCUUCGGACCUUGCGCUAAUAGAUGAGCCUAAGUCGGAUUAGCUAGUUGGUGGGGUAAAGGCCUACCAAGGCGACGAUCUGUAGCGGGUCUGAGAGGAUGAUCCGCCACACUGGGACUGAGACACGGCCCAGACUCCUACGGGAGGCAGCAGUGGGGAAUAUUGGACAAUGGGCGGAAGCCUGAUCCAGCCAUGCCGCGUGUGUGAAGAAGGCCUUUUGGUUGUAAAGCACUUUAAGCGAGGAGGAGGCUACUAAUAUUAAUACUACUGGAUAGUGGACGUUACUCGCAGAAUAAGCACCGGCUAACUCUGUGCCAGCAGCCGCGGUAAUACAGAGGGUGCGAGCGUUAAUCGGAUUUACUGGGCGUAAAGCGUGCGUAGGCGGCUUUUUAAGUCGGAUGUGAAAUCCCCGAGCUUAACUUGGGAAUUGCAUUCGAUACUGGGAAGCUAGAGUAUGGGAGAGGAUGGUAGAAUUCCAGGUGUAGCGGUGAAAUGCGUAGAGAUCUGGAGGAAUACCGAUGGCGAAAGCAGCCAUCUGGCCUAAUACUGACGCUGAGGUACGAAAGCCUGGGGAGCAAACAGGAUUAGAUACCCUGGUAGUCCCUGCCCUAAACAAUGUCUACUAACCCUUGGGGCCUUUGAGGCUUUAUGGGCGCACCUAACCCCAUAAUUAAACCCCC